rnacentral:misc_RNA from 1 species
UCUGCACCUGGCACCGUCGUUCUACAUCGUCUGCAGAAAAUUACCUACAUAAAAAAAAUAAAAAAAGGGAGGUUUGAAGAAGCCUAUAAAGUCUUGUCAUUGAUGGCGAUUGUUUGUAUUCAUUAUGGGCAACAAAAUAUCCGUUGAUAGUAAACCUGUCUUUGGAAUCCUUGCUGGAUUAAUAUCGAGUUCAUUAGCAAUUUGGUUGUUCUAUGAAAGAAUUAGUAGAGCAACGAGAUUGGACAGUUUGAAGGAAACUAAUUAUAACAUAGCGCAGCUUCAUUCUGCAAUAGAUAGUCUUAGAAAAGAAAUAGAAGAUCUGAAAGCAACAAAAUCUUUGAAAACUGAUCUUAAUAGUGAAAUUGAUGAAGAUUCUAAGUCAAAGAAAUCAUUCAAAGUUGUCCGCUUCAAGAAAACCCUAUCCUAUCUGUCUUCCACAAGUGAUGCUGAUUAUCAAUCAGCAUGGUCAGACUGUGAAGGACAAACAGAAGAGUUCUUUGAUUUUCCAGAGAAUGAUGCCCUUGCUGAGCAAAUUGAAAGCAAUUCAUCAGCUAAGGAAGCCAUAGAUUUGUUUGAUAAAGUUGACAGUUUAUUAGAAGGGUCUUCAGAUGAUUAUAAAAUUGCUUUUGGAUUAUUAACAGAUCAUGAAAGUGAGUUUGGUUGUAAUGUGGAAUAUCUUUGGCGUGCUGCCAAAUCCUGCAGAAUGUCUGCUCAAGCAUCAUCUGAUGCAAAAAUGCAAAAGGAAUUAAGUUUCAAAGGUUUGCUAUAUCAUUGGGUGCAACAAGCUGUUAUUGUAACGUUUCAGAAAAAAUCCGAAAUGGCGUACUAUUUAAAGAGCACAUCGAUAAAGCAAUUGAGAUCAGUCCUUCAGAUUAUCUUCUUCAUCAUCUUCUCGGUCGGUUCAGUUUUGAGGUCUCGUCUUUAUCUUGGAUUGAGCGAAAAGUGGCCACAGCGCUCUUCAAAAAUAUCCCAAAUGGAUCUGUCGAGGAAGCAUUAUCAAAGUUUAUGCUUUCAGAAAAACUGCGAGCGGAGCCUUGGAAAACAAAUUCCCUCUACAUCGCCAAAUGCUUUAUUAAGUUAGGGGAAAAUGCUCAAGCAAUGCACUGGAUAAACCUUGCAUUAGCAAUCCCGGUUGUAACGCCAGAAGAUCGGUUGUCACAAGACGAAUUAGUUGCUUUGAGUGCCAAGUAUAACUCUAACUUUUAAAAAUUCUUUAUUCCUCAAUUUGUUCAUUUCAAAUGCCAUACACAAAAAGAUUAUUUUCUGGAUGAA